GACGAACGCUGGCGGCGUGCUUAACACAUGCAAGUCGAACGGAAAGGCCCUGCUUGCCGGGUACUCGAGUGGCGAACGGGUGAGUAACACGUGGGUGAUCUGCCCUGCACUUCGGGAUAAGCUUGGGAAACUGGGUCUAAUACCGGAUAGGAGCCAUCUUUAGUGUGGUGGUUGGAAAGUUUUUUCGGUGUAGGAUGAGCUCGCGGCCUAUCAGCUUGUUGGUGGGGUAAUGGCCUACCAAGGCGGCGACGGGUAGCCGGCCUGAGAGGGUGUACGGCCACAUUGGGACUGGGAUACGGGCCAGACUCCUACGGGGGGGAGGAGUGGGGAAUAUUGCACAAUGGGCGCAAGGCUGAAGCAGCGACGCCGCGGGGGGGAUGAAGGCCUUCGGGUUGGAAACUCCUUUCGCUAGGGACGAAGCUUUGUUGUGACGGUACCUAGAGAAGAAGCACCGGCUAACUACGUG
rnacentral:rRNA from 1 species